rnacentral:rRNA from 1 species
ACUCCUACGGGAGGCAGCAGUGGGGAAUAUUGGACAAUGGGCGCAAGCCUGAUCCAGCCAUGCCGCGUGAGUGAUGAAGGCCUUAGGGUUGUAAAGCUCUUUUAUCCGGGACGAUAAUGACGGUACCGGAGGAAUAAGCCCCGGCUAACUUCGUGCCAGCAGCCGCGGUAAUACGAAGGGGGCUAGCGUUGCUCGGAAUCACUGGGCGUAAAGGGCGCGUAGGCGGCGUUUUAAGUCGGGGUGAAAGCCUGUGGCUCAACCACAGAAUGGCCUUCGAUACUGGGACGCUUGAGUCUGGUAGAGGUUGGUGGAACUGCGAGUGUAGAGGUGAAAUUCGUAGAUAUUCGCAAGAACACCGGUGGCGAAGGCGGCCAACUGGACCAGCACUGACGCUGAGGCGCGAAAGCGUGGGGAGCAAACAGGAUUAGAUACCCUGGUAGGCGUAG